AUUGAACGCUGGCGGCAGGCCUAACACAUGCAAGUCGAACGAGUGGCGGACGGGUGAGUAAUGUCUGGGAAACUGCCUGAUGGAGGGGGAUAACUACUGGAAACGGUAGCUAAUACCGCAUACCAUCGGAUGUGCCCAGAUGGGAUUAGCUAGUAGGUGGGGUAACGGCUCACCAAGGCGACGAUCCCUCGCUGGUCUGAGAGGAUGACCAGCCACACUGGAACUGAGAAACGGUCCAGAAGCCGACGGGAGGCAGCAGUGGGGAAUAUUGAACAAUGGGCGCAAGCCGGAUGCAGCCAUGCCGAGUGUAUGAAGAAGGCCUUCGGGUUGUAAAGUACUUUCAGCGAGGAGGCGUUACCCGCAGAAGAAGCACCGGCUAACUCCGUGCCAGCAGCCGCGGUAAUUC
rnacentral:rRNA from 1 species